rnacentral:rRNA from 1 species
UACGGGGGGGGGCAAGCGUUGUUCGGAAUUACUGGGCGUAAAGGGCGCGUAGGCGGUCAGCACAAGUCAGUUGUGAAAUCUCCGGGCUUAACUCGGAAAGGUCAACUGAUACUGUGCGACUAGAGUGCAGAAGGGGCAACUGGAAUUCUCGGUGUAGCGGUGAAAUGCGUAGAUAUCGAGAGGAACACCUGCGGCGAAGGCGGGUUGCUGGGCUGACACUGACGCUGAUGCGCGAAAGCCAGGGGAGCGAACGGG